UAGAGCCAUGGGGACACCUUUCAGGGCCACCUGCUGGACACUCAUGGGGAUGUGAGGACAACCUAGGACUCCUGGCGGGCCUGGCAUUCUCCUUUAAGGGGAAAGUUGGAACUGGCUCAUGAGACUUUGUGCAAGAUACACCAGCCCUUCUGAUGCAGGAGCUUUGGGUGAUUUCUUGGCUGUGACAUCAUCAGGUUAUUUUGACCAGGAGAACAGAAGGAUAAUGGUAAUGCUUCUCUACCCAGUGAUGACAGCCCUAGCACUGUAUCACCCUGGAGCAGGUCUAUGUUCUUUGUGAGUUGGAACAGCAAGAAGCUACAUUACCAUGUGAUACUCUGUUUCUGCUUACAUAAAGACUUGCCAAUUUGUGGAGACCUUAAAAGCAGUUGGUUCUUGGAGACAAAGCCGCCCAUGCUUGAACUCACAUAGCAGGAACUUCGAGAGCAUUCUAGUAAUGUCUGCUUAUGCAUGUGUUGUGUUCAAACUUAUCCUAGGACUUCUUCAUCCAUCCAGCAAGUACUUCCUGCAAUUCUGUCUACAAGCAAGCACAGUUUCUUGACUGGCACCGGAGCCUUGUAUGGAUUAAGUAAUCAUCUUUUUCCAUCUUUGGAAAGAAGAGCUACAGGGAGUGGAAUCACCAUCCUGCUGUCGGAGAAAUCUGUUGAACUUGAGAGUGAAUCUUUUAUAUUUACAAGAUUGCAAUCUAAUUGCUGCCACUGUACGGACAACUGGAUGCAUUGCACGUUUUAAAGAUCAAGGAAUCCAGAUGACAGCAGCUUUUCUGUGUGGGAGCCCUUGGGAGACGCUGCCAAGUUGGGUCCUGUGAGAAAGCAGGGAGUGGGCAAAGGUGUGACGUGGAGCCCGAGGAGGGAGUCUUGUCAGUUUUUAUAACAAUAGUUAAACAGGAUGAAAGAAAGAUAAGAGAGAGCACGAAAGGGCAUGGGUGUGACGUCUAAUUCAUUCCGGCCCAGAAGAACUGUUGUUAAGAGACUCAAAUUGUGCUAAGCAUCUAGAAUUCCUACCAACUGCUAAUCACCAGCAAGUUUAAAUUAAUGUGAAAAAUAUAUUGCUACAGGGAAAAUGAUGACUACCUGUGUUGGUCAGCUUUUCAUCACUGUGGCCCAGUGCCUGAGAAAAUCUAGUUAAAGGAGAAAGGAGUGGUUCUGGGUCAUAGUUUCAGAGGUGUCUGUCUGUGGUCCUUUGACUCCUGGCUUCUGGGCUGGAAUUGAGGCAGAAACAUCCUGGCUGAAAAGCAUGGCCACAGGGCAUGGUGGGAUGCAGGAAAAAGCAUAAGAGCCAGAGAAGAUGAGCUACAGACUGUGUACACAGCUUCAACUACAAACCCACUCCCUUCAUCUGGGCAUGGGGUCCAUUGUCUGAGUACUGAGAAAAUUAAAAAAAAAACA